UACGUAGGGGGCUAGCGUUGUCCGGAAUCAUUGGGCGUAAAGAGCGUGUAGGCGGCCCGGUAAGUCCGCUGUGAAAGUCGGGGGCUCAACCCUCGAAUGCCGGUGGAUACUGUCGGGCUAGAGUGCGGAAGAGGCGAGUGGAAUUCCUGGUGUAGCGGUGAAAUGCGCAGAUAUCUGGAGGAAUACCGGUGGCGAAGGCGGCAUCCUGGACCAUUACUGACGCUGAGGCGCGAAAGCUAGGGGAGCAAACGGG
rnacentral:rRNA from 1 species